UGGGCUUGACAACGGAGGACAGCCCCAUCUCUGGGGCUGUCCUCCGUUGUCUAGCCCAGGUAAGGCUCUGCGCGUUGCGUCGAAUUGAACCACAUGCUCCACCGCUUGUGCGGGCCCCCGUCAAUUCCUUUGAGUUUUAGCCUUGCGGCCGUACUCCCCAGGCGGGGUGCUUAAUGCGUUAGCUUCGGCACGGAGAGGGUUGAAGACCUCCCCACACCUAGCACCCAACGUUUACGGCUGGGACUAC
rnacentral:misc_RNA from 1 species